AGUUAGCCGUUUUCGUCGAAUUUCGAUGUAAUAUACCAGAUUUUGGUAUAAGAAUAGAAGUAAAUAAAAAUAGUGUGAGAUACUAUUUUUAUUUGGUUUUUGAGAAGCAAUGUAUAAGUCUAUAAUGACUUGUGCUGAAAUCGGAAUGAAAACAGAAGAUUUAUAAUUUUCUGUUGAAAACGAGACAGAUAAAUUAGCAAAAAAGUACAGAGUCUCAGAAAAUUAUGAAAAUUGGAGGAUAGGUCAGAAAUAUUUUUAUGAGGCUAGAUUUAAAGUUUCAUAUUUUUCUGA
rnacentral:lncRNA from 1 species